rnacentral:rRNA from 1 species
GACAGCAGUCGCCACGGUAAUACAGAGGGUGCGAGCGUUAAUCGGAUUUACUGGGCGUAAAGCGUGCGUAGGCGGCUUUUUAAGUCGGAUGUGAAAUCCCUGAGCUUAACUUAGGAAUUGCAUUCGAUACUGGGAAGCUAGAGUAUGGGAGAGGAUGGUAGAAUUCCAGGUGUAGCGGUGAAAUGCGUAGAGAUCUGGAGGAAUACCGAUGGCGAAGGCAGCCAUCUGGCCUAAUACUGACGCUGAGGUACGAAAGCAUGGGGAGCAAACAGGAUUAGAUACCCCUGUAGUCCCUGUCUCUUAUAC